GACAGAGGGGGCAAGCGUUGCUCGGAAUUACUGGGCGUAAAGGGCGCGUAGGCGGGAUGGCAAGUCGGUCGUGAAAUCCCUCGGCUCAACCGAGGAACGUCGAUCGAUACUGCUGUUCCUGAGGAUUGCAGAGGAGACUGGAAUUCCCGGUGUAGCGGUGAAAUGUGUAGAGAUCGGGAGGAACACCGGUGGCGAAGGCGGGUCUCUGGGCAAUUCCUGACGCUGAGGCGCGAAAGCGUGGGGAGCAAACGGG
rnacentral:rRNA from 1 species